AAGUGAUCUAGGUAUGGGCAGGGUGAAGGUGCAGUAACAUGCACUGGAGGCCCGAACCGUUGAGCGUUGAAAAGCUCUCGGAUGACCUGUGCCUAGGGGUGAAAGGCCAAUCAAACUUGCUUAUAGCUGGUUCUCCGCGAAAUCUAUUUAGGUAGAGCGUCGAUCGAAUACUCUUGGGGGUAGAGCACUGACUGGGCUAGGGGUCCUCACCGGAUUACCAAACCUUAUCAAACUCCGAAUACCAAGAAGUACUAAUCGGCAGACACACGGCGGGUGCUAACGUCCGUCGUGGAGAGGGAAACAACCCUGACCACCAAUUAAGGUCCCCAAAUAAUGGCUAAGUGUGAAAGGAUGUGGGAUUGCUUUGACAAUGAGGAGGUUGGCUUAGAAGCAGCCAUCCUUUAAAGAAAGCGUAACAGCUCACUGGUCAAGCGCUCCUGCGCGGAAAAUGUAACGGGGCUUAAGUGAUACACCGAAGCUGCGGAUUCGAUCUUUGAUCGAGUGGUAGCGGAGCGUUCCGUAGGCCGAUGAAGGCAGACCCGCGAGGGCUGCUGGAGGUAUCGGAAGUGAGAAUGCUGACAUGAGUAGCGAU
rnacentral:rRNA from 1 species